GAUGAACGCUGGCGGCGUGCCUAAUACAUGCAAGUCGAGCGAACAGACGAGGAGCUUGUUCCUCUGACGUUAGCGGCGGACGGGUGAGUAACACGUGGAUAACCUACCUAUAAGACUGGGAUAACUUCGGGAAACCGGAGCUAAUACCGGAUAAUAUAUUGAACCGCAUGGGUCAAUAGUGAAAGACGGUUUUGCUGUCACUUAUAGAUGGAUCCGCGCCGCAUUAGCUAGUUGGUAAGGUAACGGCUUACCAAGGCAACGAUGCGUAGCCGACCUGAGAGGGUGAUCGGCCACACUGGAACUGAGACACGGUCCAGACUCCUACGGGAGGCAGCAGUAGGGAAUCUUCCGCAAUGGGCGAAAGCCUGACGGAGCAACGCCGCGUGAGUGAUGAAGGUCUUCGGAUCGUAAAACUCUGUUAUUAGGGAAGAACAAAUGUGUAAGUAACUAUGCACGUCUUGACGGUACCUAAUCAGAAAGCCACGGCUAACUACGUG
rnacentral:rRNA from 1 species